rnacentral:rRNA from 1 species
CCUACGGGUGGCAGCAGUGGGGAAUAUUGCUCAAUGGGCGAAACCCUGAAGCAGCAACGCCGCGUGGAGGAUGAAGGUUUUCGGAUUGUAAACUCCUUUUGUUAGAGAAGAUAAUGACGGUAUCUAACGAAUAAGCACCGGCUAACUCCGUGCCAGCAGCCGCGGUAAUACGGAGGGUGCAAGCGUUACUCGGAAUUACUGGGCGUAAAGAGCGCGUAGGCGGGUAAGCAAGUUAGCUGUGAAAUCCUAUGGCUUAACCAUAGAACUGCCGUUGAAACUGUGAUUCUAGAGUAUGGGAGAGGUAGGUGGAAUACUUGGUGUAGGGGUAAAAUUCGUAGAUAUCAAGAAGAAGACUGAUUGCGAAGGCGGCCAGCUAGCACAUAACUGACGCUGAUGCGCGAAAGCGUGGGGAGCAAACAGGAUUAGAUACCCGAGUAGUC